AUUCAUUCUUUUUUUUAACGAAAUUGUCUUUAAUGACGUUUUCUUUCCAGAAAUAUUUAACAGGGGGUUGUAUCUUAUUUUUAAUUUUAAACUUAACACUACGAAAAAGUGUACGUUAAAAAGUUUGCGUACAGCUGUUUAAAGUCAAGUGGAAUGCAACAUUGUGCGACUACCGUUAAGAUUUCUGGCGCCGAUCUAUCUUCUGCAGAUUGUCUAUGCAUAACACAUAUUUCAUAAAAAUUGUUGGCAAGCAACCAGGAGGUAUUUGAUACAGUAAAAUCUAUAAUUUAAAAGCCAAGGCAAAAAAGCAGUCUGCUGUUCAAUUCAGCGGCACUUCAACGUGAAAAAUACUUGCCCGAAUCCAACUGAUCUGUACGAGGGUGUUCAAUAUAGAACCACGAAACGAAGUUGAUGAAAAGUGGGCUCUUACAUUUGAGUAGCGUUAUAAUUUCCGGUCGACGACUGCUACACUUAGCACAAUUAUUUAAAAAUUUAAAACGGUCUCUUUUUAUUUUUGUCAGAGUAUAAAUUUAAUCAAAACAUUCUCUAAUCAAAGCGAAGAUACCAAGGACGACCUACUCUUUGAUGUCAUUCACUCUGUUCUCAUCCCUAGCAAGAGAGGAAAAAGAGGAUCUUCGGGGAACUUGAAGUUAAGUAUACUGCCUAUAUUAAAGGGAUUGCUGCCCUAGAUUUUGGAAAAUAAAUGCCAUCAAAUUUAGAAAGAAAAUUAUUUAUUUCGAGAAAACUAUUUCUAAAAUCUAGGAAGAA